CCUACGGGCGGCUGCAGUGGGGAAUAUUGGACAAUGGGCGAAAGCCUGAUCCAGCCAUGCCGCGUGUGUGAAGAAGGCCUUCGGGUUGUAAAGCACUUUCAGUGGGGAAGAAAGCCUUGGGGCUAAUACCCUCGAGGAAGGACAUCACCCACAGAAGAAGCACCGGCUAACUCCGUGCCAGCAGCCGCGGUAAUACGGAGGGUGCGAGCGUUAAUCGGAAUUACUGGGCGUAAAGCGCGCGUAGGCGGUCUGAUAAGCCGGUUGUGAAAGCCCCGGGCUCAACCUGGGAACGGCAUCCGGAACUGUCAGGCUAGAGUGCAGGAGAGGAAGGUAGAAUUCCCGGUGUAGCGGUGAAAUGCGUAGGGAUCGGGAGGAAUACCAGUGGCGAAGGCGGCCUUCUGGACUGACACUGACGCUGAGGUGCGAAAGCGUGGGUAGCAAACAGGAUUAGAUACCCGGGUAGUC
rnacentral:rRNA from 1 species